UAUUUAUUUAAUUACCUGGGAUAUGCUCUUAGCUACACAAGUUCUGCUAGGCAGUAGCCAUGGGAAUUUCAACCUACAGUUGUGGUCCUCCUUCUGCCCCUACAGAGUGCCAUGUGUGAAAAAACGUGAGUGAGUGAUGGAGCUGCAUUAAAUGCUCAGGAGCUGCCAAACUGUUUCUGCAUCAGGAUGAUUUGGACAGACAGGAAUUGUAAGCCGAAGUCUGAAGCAUAAAAGAUUACCAAAAGAAGAAAAGAUUUCAAAUUAAAAACAGUUCCCUUGUUUUGUACCAUACGCAUCUUUGAGAGUGAUGCAGUUUUCAUUACUGUUGCAUGGUUAAGUCAGAUGAAUAAUGAAAGCAAGGCUUGUGUGUACAGAUGCUGCUGCAGGCCCUUAAUGAGAGAGAGAUGCCAGCAAAUGCAGAGGAACUUGGAGGCUGGAAGCAGCUGUACUGUGAAGGAAUCCUAAAUGAAUUUCAGAGCUGAUUAAGAGAAUUGGAGAUCAGAGAAAGACAGGUGGGGUGGCGAUGGUUAAGAUAAUGCAGUGCACUUGCAUCUUCUGUUUAUUUUAUGAAGAUCUACGUGUUCCCAGGGAAUGUGAAGGCCAGGCUGGACCAGACCGAGCAACCUGAUCUAGCUGUAGACGUCCCUGUUCACUGCAGGGAAGUAGGACUAGAUGACUUUUAAAGGUCCUUUCCAAAUGGAACAAUUCUAUGAUUCUAUGAACAGUGUUCUACUGAAUCUUUUUCAGAGCUAGGAGAUCAGAGGUCCCCGGAGCAUCCAUCAUGUCCUUUGACAAUAAAAGUGACUGUAAAAUGACAAGAUGUGACCUUGCUUGAAAGCAGAACUCGCAGUAAGCUUGUUGAUAGCAAAAGAAGGUGAGUCAGAAGCUGUUGUUUUAAGAAAACAAAGUUCUUGAAGGGUAGAGGGAGCUAUAUAGCAUCUCUGUCUGCAGAAAUUAAUGCAAUAUGUUAAAUUGAUACUAUACAAGAUUGUAUUAUGCUGUUGUACAGUUG
ensembl:lncRNA